GUAAGCUACUAAGAGCGAACGGUGGAUGCCUUGGCUAGUAGAGGCGAUGAAAGACGUGCCAGACUGCGAUAAGUCUCGGGGAGCCGUCAAGGGGCUUUGAUCCGGGAAUUUCUGAAUGGGGCAACCCAAUACAUAGCGAUAUGUGUUACCAUUAAUGGAGCCAACGCGGGGAACUGAAACAUCUAAGUACCCGCAGGAAGAGAAAUCAAUAGAGAUUACGCUAGUAGCGGCGAGCGAACGCGUAAGAGGGCAAACCACUAGUUUACUAGUGGGGUUGUAGGACCGCAACAUAGACUAGGAUCUGAUAAUAGAACAAUCUGGAAAGGUUAGGCAUAGAGGGUGAUACUCCCGUAUAUGAAAUCACAUCCUUACUUAGCGGUAUCCUGAGUAGGACGGGACACGUGAAAUCCUGUCUGAAGCUGGGUCGACCACGAUCUAACCCUAAAUACUACUACUAGACCGAUAGCGUACAAGUACCGUGAGGGAAAGGUGAAAAGAACGGCGGUGAGCCGAGUGAAAUAGAACCUGAAACCGUUUGCUUACAAUCAUUCAGAGCACUAUGUGGGUCUGUUUGAAUAUUAAGGACGGCUUGUCUUUUGAGCGUCUUUAAAUGAGUUCGUAUUUUUCUCAAUCGACAGCCUAUAUGGCUAGUCUCAAUCGAAAAAUACUUCACAACAUUUAAAUCCGUCUCAAAAUACCGCGCCUUUGGGCGGGUAUAUCUUGUUUUUAUAAAUUCUAUGCGGAUGAAAUUUUAAAAGUAAAGAGAGGUAAAACUUCUAAAAUCAAAAUUUCAAACCAUAGAUCAAAUUUAAAUCAAACAAGAUAAGACAAUCCAAGAUUAGUAUUGAAACAGAUCCACAGUGUGAUGGACUGCCUUUUGCAUAAUGAGCCUGCGAGUUGUGGUGUCUGGCGAGGUUAAGGAAACCCGGAGCCGUAGCGAAAGCGAGUCUUAAUAGGGCGAUUAGUCAGAUGCUGCAGACCCGAAACGAUGUGAUCUAUCCAUGAGCAGGUUGAAGCCGGUGUAAGAGCCGGUGGAGGACCCAACCGACGGCCGUUGAAAAGGCUCCGGAUGACUUGUGGAUAGGGGUGAAAGGCCAAUCAAACAUCGUGAUAGCUGGUUCUCUCCGAAAUAUAUUGAGGUAUAGCGUCGUGUAGUAGCUAUAAGGGGUAGAGCACUGAAUGGGCUAGGGCAUACACCAAUGUACCAAACCCUAUCAAACUCCGAAUACUUAUAGCGUAACCACGGCAGUCAGGCGGCGAGUGAUAAAAUCCGUCGUCAAGAGGGAAACAACCCGGACUAACAGCUAAGGUCCCCAAAUCUCAUUUAAGUGGAAAACGAUGUGAAGUUACUGAAACAACCAGGAGGUUGGCUUAGAAGCAGCCAUCCUUUAAAGAUAGCGUAAUAGCUCACUGGUCUAGUGAUUUUGCGCGGAAAAUAUAACGGGGCUAAAAUGAGUACCGAAGCUUUAGACUUGCACUUAAUCAUUUAUACUAGCUCGUCUUUUGGCGAUAAAUUAAUGAGUUCGAUUUUUUUCUCAAUCGAUAGGCUAAAAGCCUUAUUUCAAAUCGAAAAAAUCUUCACAACAUUAAUUUCUCAUCCAAAAUACUUCGCUUUCUAUAUUCAAAUUUUAAAGAUUUCAAACUUUGUUGAUUUUAAAAUUUUUUAGAAUUUUAAAAUCCCAACUUAGAUAUUUAAAAUUUAACAACCAAGAGGCGAAGAAAGACAAGCACAACUUUAAGAUAUCAAAUAAAUUCUUAAAUAUCUUAAGUUUUAAAUUUGAAUAAAGCAAUAAGAAAAGUAUAAAUCAUUAAGUGCAAGUGGUAGGAGAGCGUUCCAAUCAGCGUCGAAGCCGUACCGGUAAGGAGCGGUGGAGCGGUUGGAAGUGAGCAUGCAGGCAUGAGUAGCGAUAAAAUACGUGAGAAUCGUAUUCGCCGUAAACCCAAGGUUUCCUACGCGAUGCUCGUCAUCGUAGGGUUAGUCGGGUCCUAAGCAAAGUCCGAAAGGGGUAUGCGAUGGAAAAUCGGUUAAUAUUCCGAUACCGAUAUCAGUGUGCGACGGAAGGACGCUUAAAGUUAGUGGAGCUAGCGGAUGGAAGUGCUAGUCUAAGGAAGUAGGUUGAGUUAUAGGCAAAUCCGUAACUCUUUAUCCGAGAUCUGAAAGGCUUCUGACGCUCUUCGGAGUAGAUGAAGAAUCCAUGAUACUAUCGAGCCGAGAAAAGUUUCUAAGUUUAGCUGAUAUCGCCCGUACCGUAAACCGACACAGGUGGGUGGGAUGAGUAUUCUAAGGCGCGUGGAAGAACUCUCUUUAAGGAACUCUGCAAAAUAGCACCGUAUCUUCGGUAUAAGGUGUGCCUAGCUUCGUUAAGAAUUUACUUCGUAAGCGAAGAAGGUUACAACAAAGAGUCCCUCCCGACUGUUUACCAUAAACACAGCACUCUGCUAACUCGUAAGAGGAUGUAUAGGGUGUGACGCCUGCCCGGUGCUCGAAGGUUAAUUGAUGAUGUUAGCUUAUGCAAAGCAUCUGAUCGAAGCCCGAGUAAACGGCGGCCGUAACUAUAACGGUCCUAAGGUAGCGAAAUUCCUUGUCGGGUAAGUUCCGACCUGCACGAAUGGCGUAACGA
rnacentral:rRNA from 1 species